rnacentral:rRNA from 1 species
CCUACGGGAGGCAGCAGUGAGGAAUAUUGGUCAAUGGGCGGGAGCCUGAACCAGCCAAGUCGCGUGAGGGAAGACGGUCCUAUGGAUUGUAAACCUCUUUAGGCGGGGAGCAAUGCCGGGCACGUGUGCCCGGAGGGAGAGUACCCGCAGAAUAAGCAUCGGCUAACUCCGUGCCAGCAGCCGCGGUAAUCCGGGGGAUGCGAGCUUUAUCCGGAUUUAUUGGGUUUAAAGGGUGAGUGGGGGGAUUUUUAAGUCAGCGGUAAAAUGUACGGGGUAACCCCGGGCCGGCCGUUGAAACUGGGGAGCUAGAGUGGGCGAGAAGUAGGCGGAAUGCGUGGUGUAGCGGUGAAAUGCAUAGAUAUCACGCAGAACUCCGAUUGCGAAGGCAGCAUACCGGCGCCCGACUGACGCUGAGGCACGAAAGCGUGGGGAUCGAACAGGAUUAGAUACCCUAGUAGUC